rnacentral:rRNA from 1 species
GACGAACGCUGGCGGCGUGCUUAACACAUGCAAGUCGAACGCGCCUGUCCUCUGGGUUUCUGGGGGGUGGGUGAGUGGCGAACGGGUGAGUAACACGUGAGUAACCUGCCCCCUUCUUCGGGAUAACGGUCUGAAAGGGCUGCUAAUACCGGGUAUUCACUGGUCUCCGCAUGGGGUCUGGUGGAAAGGUUUUUUUCUGGUGGGGGAUGGGCUCGCGGCCUAUCAGCUUGUUGGUGGGGUGAUGGCCCACCAAGGCUUUGACGGGUAGCCGGCCUGAGAGGGUGACCGGUCACAUUGGGACUGAGAUACGGCCCAGACUCCUACGGGAGGCAGCAGUGGGGAAUAUUGCACAAUGGGCGCAAGCCUGAUGCAGCGACGCCGCGUGAGGGAUGGAGGCCUUCGGGUCGUGAACCUCUUUCGCCCGUGGUCAAGCCGCGACGUGGGUCGUGGUGAGGGUAGUGGGUAAAGAAGCGCCGGCUAACUACGUG